rnacentral:rRNA from 1 species
UGCCAGCCGCCGCGGUAACACGGAGGGUGCAAGCGUUGUUCGGAAUCACUGGGCGUAAAGCGGGUGUAGGCGGCAAGGCAAGUCUGAUGUGAAAGCCCGGGGCUCAACCCCGGAAGUGCAUUGGAAACUGGCGAACUUGAGUACGGGAGAGGAAAGUGGAAUUCCGAGUGUAGGGGUGAAAUCCGUAGAUAUUCGGAGGAACACCAGUGGCGAAGGCGGCUUUCUGGACCGAUACUGACGCUGAGACGCGAAAGCGUGGGGAGCAAACAGGAUUAGAUA